rnacentral:lncRNA from 1 species
AAGUUUGCCGACAACGGCAGUUCGGGAAAUACGGGGAGGCUUGACCAAUGAGCCGGGCUCGGUUUACUGACGGGCUUUUUACAGAUUUGUAUUCAGUCAGGCCCAAAUCAGUUGUGAUUAAACUGGAGAAUAAAAUAAGUUUAGGGGUCAAAAGUGAAAUUACCCGAACAUUCAAAUUAGAAAUUCAGAAAACUCAAGAAGACCUUUUCUCUUCUGAAUGACCUACGAGUCCGAAAAAGUAGAAUCCGACAAAAUGAAUUCUUACGCCGCCGCCGCAGUCGCCGCCACUCACACCGUCGCCUUCUAUCUCUCUUCCCACCGCUUCUAGGGUUUAGGGUUUUUGCUCGACCUCUCCCGACCAUUGAAACCAAAAAACACAGAAGGGAAAGACCUCGACCAAGGCCUAGACAUUCGUUACAAUAUGAGGGACCGGCGAUACGACGGUCGGAGGACUCCGUCUCCUCAUCCAUCGCCGCCGACAAGGGGAAGGGGCCGCGACUACAGAGAGGACAACUGGCGGCUCCCUACUUCCUCCUAUCGGGCUCCACCACCGGGCUCACAGUGGGCAGAGCGGGACCCGCUGCCGCCGCCGCCGACGGCGGGG